AAAUAACAAUCCGAAUUUACCAAUAUAUUUCUCUAACGAAAUCAACAAAUAGUAGCACUGUGAACAGAAAAUUUCUAGCAGUUUCCAUGAUUUGGCUGAGUUUUGAAAGGGGUUUUUGCCACAGUAAGUUCUUGUGAAUAUGAGUGUCUACAGUUUGGUGGAUGAAGUUUACAAGUCUGGUUGGUACAGGCUAGAAAAUGUAUGAACUCUUGUUUUUUUUUUUUUUUUGCCAGCCAAAACCCAUUUCAUUAAGUCAGAAUCAUGAAACUCUCCUCUAAAGAGAGCCUAACAUGAACCAUACAACUUACAUGGGUAAAAAUAGAUAGAGAAUCACGGGAAGUUGUUCGCAAAACUAACUUUAAAACUCGGACGGAACAACAAAAAGCAAAGUAACUAAUACAAAGCAAAAGAUAAGGGAUUCUAACAAUCCAAAAGAUAGAGAGUGUCCUCUCGGAAUGAGACCAUCCGGUCCAAAGGAUGUUUAACCUAUGACAGGCCACCAUCUUUUUAAUGCAACAACUCCAAAGACUUUUCAGAAUUUGAAAGCUCUUGCUACUCCAAACUUGCCCCUGAAGUGUGAAAACUCCUGAUCCCUGAAAAGGGAGGUUGCAAGUAGGACGAGCACAAAUGCUCGCGAUCCAAAAGCCACUACCAUCAUUCCCUAAAGAAUUUUGACACUGGCUUAAUUCUUCUAUGAUUAUUCCCAGCUGGAAAACCGAGAUUCUAGCUUCACCAUCUUCCAAACUAAUUAGCAAUGCACCAUAGUGAUCCCGGUCUAGCGGAGUGUAGAACGUGCACACCUCCUCCAGCAUCAAUUUGGAGCCUCGUUUGCUCUUAGUUUUCAAAAGAAGCCCAAGUUUCAUCUGACCACAAGGUUGGCAGAGAGAAUUCUUAAAAAAGCAUUGGUUUAUUCUGGACCAAUCCUGGGCACUAGUAAUACUAAGGAGGUAAUCCCUCAGUUGCCAUACUCCAGAGCGGGGAAUGCCACAAUGGCUCCAUACAAAACUAACAUAGUCUAUGCUUUUUACAAUUGAAUCUUCAAAGAGAGCUCCAACAGAUGAAAAUGAUGAGGAAAAUAACAACACUUUACUCUCAAAGAAGUAAGUUGAGAUAAAAAGACCUUUAUGCUCUAGGAAUUGUACAUUGAAGCUACAACGAUAACCUUGCAAAUUUUGCAGAUUUGUUUUACGAGUCUUAGAUUUUGAUAAAAACAUCAAAUCUAAUAACUUGAAACAAUACAUCUUAACUAAUCGAUAAGAUGUGAAUCUUGCUUUGGCCCCUUCACAUGAAUGAAGCAAUCUCUCCACAUGAGAGGAAAUGGUCGAAUAACGGACAAGACUAAAUAAUAUUCUGGCCCAAGUCCGGGCCCACCAAGAAGCACAGCCAUGCGUGGUGUGAGUGAAGAAGUAAUUGACAGCUAGGUUAGGGGAACGGAACGUGUCAGGAGGACCUUGCCGGAAAAGAGGCAACGGGAGAAGCUGGCUGAGACGAGACCAACGAAGGGAGGCAUAUCACUAUUCCCAUGAAAGUGAAUUCGUCGGCGGCUUUCUUCACGAGCAGAUCUAGAUCUGUUGAAGGAGAAGCUGGUGUGAACCUUAAUUGAAGAAGGAUCUUGGACUAUACAAGUCGAGAAAGAGUCAACAACGACUAUCCAAACCAUGUUGGGCAACACGAGAGAAGAAGAUGAGUAAGGUAUGUCCGGCGGAUCUGGUGGGUCCGGUGGGUCCAGUGAGUGAAGAGUGCUUUGCGAAGUGUUCAUCACCCUAUAGUGAGAGAGUACACUAACAAGAUCUGGCGGACAUACUCGCCGGUGCUGCAGGUGGCUGGCGGAAAAAGAGAGUGGAGCAAGGUAAGAUCUCACCGAAAACCAUGGUGGAAACAAAGUAGAAAGAUCUCGCCGGCGAAUGGAAACCGACGGAAUAUGAGACAAGGUCUUCGGACGAGUGGAUCCGAGAGAGUGGAAGAAGAACGCCGUUCAAAAGGAGGUAGAGUCAACAAAAUUGUCGCCGGAGAAGACACAUGUAUGAACUCUUGUUUUGAGAGUGUAAGCUCUUAAACAAUGUAGCAGCAGCACAUAUUCAUGUUUUAUGCAGACUUGUGUUGCGUUAACACACGGUACUUAUGCUUGAAUGAAUCUGUGAGAACAAGGAGUUCUUUUCUCGGGUGGAGCAAUGGUUUCCCACUCUCUAUUUUCUUAUUCUUAGUAAGUUUUGGCAUUAUCAGAUUAUAGAGAAUGUUCCAGGAAGAAGAGCCAAGGUUGUUGAAACAGGUUCUUGGUGGUUAAAGUGGAUCAGGUCAAGUGGCUACAAGACGAAAGAGGAUGUGUCACAUGUUCAGACAUACUUUCUCAAGCUCUAAGACAUGGUUAACAUUGAAGAACAUGUGAAUUGUUCCAAGGAAUUGUUCAAAGCAACAUUAAAGAAUGGUUUUAACUUAGAUUGGUGAAGCUAAGGUUAUAGAGACAUAGUACAUCCAAGGGUUAUGGUUUCAGGUAUUGUUGCUACAAGAAAAGCAACGCAUAUCCUAAAGAUAUCUCCUGGUGGAGCUACGUUUGUUGGAUGAUUGUUCAGCUGAAAGUAAAGAGUUAAAAGGUUGCAUAACUUUGUUUCAGAGUGCUAAGAAGAAAGCAAGUUAAGCACAUAAGGUUAUCAAUGGGUGUUCAGCUUAAGCAUGGUUACAAUCUAAUGGUAAAAGGUUUGUUACAGAUUUGGUUUGAAGCUGGGUGUUGGUAAGGAUUGUCAGAAACAUAUUGCAGGUUUUCUAGAGAAGAGUUGCAGGUUUCUGGAGUUUUUCCAGAGAAUACACAAAUUUAUGGUCUGAGAUGAAGCUAUUGAAUUAAUUUCAGUUGUUUUUUUUUCUAAAGAAGAAACUGAAGGAGACAAAAGCAAGUGAUACAUGAUUUGUCUCAAGGGUGCUUACUUCAAGAAUGUGAAGGUGUUGUGUAUCUAACUAGAUAAACAACUCAUCUCAAAGCUAGUGUCAGAAGCUGGAAAAGAGAAGUCCUAGAAAGGAUGAAAAUGCAGAGAAAUCUAGCUGCACUUCGAAGAAACCAACUAAUGAGUUCAAAGUUGUUUGUUUGCAUAAUGAGGAGAAUACAUAAGUGUCUACUCAUGGGAAGUAAUUUGCAGGUCAGUCAAGUGAAUGAUCUAAAAGAAGAAGAGGGCCUUCCCUAAAGACUGCAAAUUGAAUAAUGCAAUAGCCAAAUUCGUUUUGGUGGAGGAUACAUACAAGAAAAAGUGAUGCAGGUUGUUCUUUACAGCUUGAAAGAGACAUCAAGGGUUCUAGAGUUGAUGUGUAAGCUGUUAUAAGGACGUGUCUCAGGGAUAUCACAAGGUCUUGCUGAUACGAGACAUUUAGGAUCCACACAAUAUAGGAUCCAAACAUCGACUUCCAUAGCUUAAUUGGUAUGGCUGCUAUAGGAGACUAAAGACUGCAAAUUGAAUGAUGCAGCCAAAGUCGUUUUGGUGGAGGUUGUAUACAAGAAAAAGUAAUGCUGGUUGUUCUUUAAAGCUUGAAAGAGAUCAAGGGUUCUAGAGUUGAUGUGUAAGCUGUUAUAAGGACGUGUCUCAGGGAUAUCACAAGGUUUUGCUGAUACGAGAUAUUUUAGGAUCCAAACAUCGAGUUCCAUUGUUAAUCGUUAUGGUUACUACAGGAGAUCAACUUUGCUCCUGAACUACUCAGUGAUUUAGCCAGUAACAAAGGAAGAGGUAAAUGACUCUCUGACAGAUGAGCAUGAGAUAACACAUUGAAGUACAUUGUACCAGGUAGUAACCUAAUACGUUUUAUUAUAAUAAGAUGAAAAGCAU
rnacentral:lncRNA from 1 species